rnacentral:rRNA from 1 species
GAUGAACGCUGGCUACAGGCUUAACACAUGCAAGUCGAGGGGAAACGACGGGGAAGCUUGCUUCCCCGGGCGUCGACCGGCGCAAGGGUGAGUAACGCGUAUCCAACCUGCCUCUGACUGAGGGAUAACCCGUCGAAAGUCGGCCUAAUACCUCAUGGCAUCGUCUGCGGGCAUCCAACGACGAUUAAAGAUUUCAUCGGUCAGGGAUGGGGAUGCGUCUGAUUAGCUAGUUGGCGGGGUAACGGCCCACCAAGGCGACGAUCAGUAGGGGUUCUGAGAGGAAGGUCCCCCACAUUGGAACUGAGACACGGUCCAAACUCCUACGGGAGGCAGCAGUGAGGAAUAUUGGUCAAUGGGCGAGAGCCUGAACCAGCCAAGUAGCGUGCAGGAUGACGGCCCUAUGGGUUGUAAACUGCUUUUAUGCGGGGAUAAAGUGAGGGACGUGUCCUUCAUUGCAGGUACCGCAUGAAUAAGGACCGGCUAAUUCCGUG